UCUAUUACUGGGGAGUGAGAAUGAGUUUUGCUGAUGAAAUAUUUGUUAAAAGACAGCAACUGAAGCACUUCUCGACUGUUUAACUCAUACUGAUGGCACAAAGGUUUUAACAAGCAACUUGACUUGUGGGGACAAAGUC